GAUGAACGCUGGCGGCGUGCCUAAUACAUGCAAGUCGAGCGAACAGACGAGGAGCUUGCUCCUCUGAUGUUAGCGGCGGACGGGUGAGUAACACGUAGGUAACCUACCUAUAAGACUGGGAUAACUUCGGGAAACCGGAGCUAAUACCGGAUAAUAUUUCGAACCGCAUGGUUCGAUAGUGAAAGAUGGCUUUGCUGUCACUUAUAGAUGGACCUGCGCCGUAUUAGCUAGUUGGUAAGGUAACGGCUUACCAAGGCAACGAUACGUAGCCGACCUGAGAGGGUGAUCGGCCACACUGGAACUGAGACACGGUCCAGACUCCUACGGGAGGCAGCAGUAGGGAAUCUUCCGCAAUGGGCGAAAGCCUGACGGAGCAACGCCGCGUGAGUGAUGAAGGUCUUCGGAUCGUAAAACUCUGUUAUUAGGGAAGAACAAACGUGUAAGUAACUGUGCACGUCUUGACGGUACCUAAUCAGAAAGCCACGGCUAACUACGUG
rnacentral:rRNA from 1 species